rnacentral:rRNA from 1 species
GUGAGGAAUAUUGCGCAAUGGGGGAAACCCUGACGCAGCGAUGCCGCGUGAGUGAAGAAGGCCUUCGGGUCGUAAAGCUCUGUCAAGUGGGAAGAAUAGCGGCGGGACGAAUAAUCCCGUCGUAUGACGGUACCACUGAAGGAAGCACCGGCUAACUCCGUGCCAGCAGCCGCGGUAAGACGGAGGGUGCAAGCGUUAUUCGGAUUUAUUGGGCGUAAAGAGCGUGUAGGCGGCCGGUCAAGCCAGAUGUGAAAGCCCAGGGCUUAACCCUGGAAGUGCAUUUGGAACUGGUUGGCUUGAGUUCGGGAGAGGGAAGUGGAAUUCCGGGUGUAGAGGUGAAAUUCGUAGAUAUCCGGAGGAACACCGGUGGCGAAGGCGACUUCCUGGACCGAAACUGACGCUGAGACGCGAAAGCGUGGGGAGCAAACAGGAUUAGAAACCCCAGUAGUCC